rnacentral:pre_miRNA from 9 species
UCUCGAUAGCGUAAAAGUUAACUCAAAUCUGUAUGGAGUUGGAACGUUUGCCUACGUUUGCUGCUAGGGGCGCUGUUCCAACUGCAUACAAAUUUUUGUUCAUUUUUACGCUAUCGA